AGAGUUUGAUCAUGGCUCAGAACGUACGCUGGCGGCACGCCUAACACAUGCAAGUCGAACGAAGUAGCAAUACUUAGUGGCAGACGGGUGAGUAACAUGUAGGUAUCUGCCCUUUGGCCUGGAAUAACACGAGGAAACUUGUGCUAAUACUGGAUAAGUCUUAACGGAGAAAGCUUUAUGCACCAUUGGAUGAGCCUGCACUUGAUUAGUUUGUUGGUGGGGUAAUGGCCUACCAAGACUGUGAUCAAUAGCUGAUUUGAGAGGAUGAUCAGCCACAUUGGGACUGAGACACGGCCCAAACUCCUACGGGAGGCAGCAGUGGGGAAUCUUGCACAAUGGAGGAAACUCUGAUGCAGCGAUGCCGCGUGAGUGAAGAAGGCCCUUGGGUUGUAAAGCUCUUUCGUCGGGGAAGAAAAUGACUGUACCCGAAUAAGAAGGUCCGGCUAACUUCGUGCCAGCAGCCGCGGUAAUACGAAGGGACCUAGCGUAGUUCGGAAUUACUGGGCUUAAAGAGUUCGUAGGUGGUUGAAAAAGUUGGUGGUGAAAUCCCAGAGCUUAACUCUGGAACUGCCAUCAAAACUUUUCAGCUUGAGUAUGAUAGAGGAAAGCAGAAUUUCUAGUGUAGAGGUGAAAUUCGUAGAUAUUAGAAAGAAUACCAAUUGCGAAGCAGCUUUCUGGAUCAUUACUGACACUGAGGAACGAAAGCAUGGGUAGCGAAGAGGAUUAGAUACCCUCGUAGUCCAUGCCGUAAACGAUGUGUGUUAGACGUUGGAAAUUUAUUUUCAGUGUCGCAGCGAAAGCGAUAAACACACCGCCUGGGGAGUACGACCGCAAGGUUAAAACUCAAAUGAAUUGACGGGACCCGC
rnacentral:rRNA from 1 species